CUCAGUUCGGAUUGGAGUCUGCAACCCGACUCCAUGAAGCUGGAUUCGCUAGUAAUCGCGCAUCAGCCACGGCGCGGUGAAUACGUUCCCGGGCCUUGUACACACCGCCCGUCAAGCCAUGGGAGCCGGGGGUACCUGAAGUGCGUGACCGCAAGGAGCGCCCUAAGGUAAAACCGGUGACUGGGGCUAAGUCGUAACAAGGUAAC
rnacentral:rRNA from 1 species